rnacentral:rRNA from 1 species
UACGUCUUUUCUUCAUCACACAUCGCAUGUCCAUAGAAUGUAACAAUGUUGUACAACUUUCAGCAACGGAUCUCUUGGCUCUCGCAUCGAUGAAGAACGCAGCGAAUUGCGAUAAGUAAUGUGAAUUGCAGAUUUCCAGUGAAUCAUCGAAUCUUUGAACGCACCUUGCGCUCCUUGGUAUUCUGAGGAGCAUGCCUGUUUGAGUGUCAUUGAAUUCUCAACCACUUCUUGAUUUCUUUGUCAAGAGGAAUGGCUUGGAAUUGGGAGUUGUUGGCAGACCUUGACACUGUCGACUCUCCUGAAAUGUAUUAGCGAUGCUAUGCUAGUCUUCUUGGAUGUGCAUGGCCUUCGAUGUGAUAAUGAUCAUCGUGGCUGGAGACAUCUCUUGACUUAUGGCUUCAUUGCUUCUAAUCUGACUUGAAAGGACUUGGAAAUCAAGGAUCCUUUUGUUCAUUCGAGCUAGUCAGUCUUUAGCUUAGUUACUAGCCAGCCAUGAAGGCUGGCGAACACAAGCAAAACGAAAAAGGCUAAUCUAGUAGAGAACAUGGACAAUGAUGAUCAUCCUUUCAUUCUCUCAGAGACUUGACCUCAAAUCAGGUAGGACUACCCGCUGAACUUAAGCAUAUCAAUAAGCGGAGGAAAAGAAACUAACAAGGAUUCCCCUAGUAACUGCGAGUGAAGCGGGAAAAGCUCAAAUUUUGAAUCUGAUGGUCUUUGGCUGUCCGAGUNGUAAUCUAGAGAAGCGUUUUCUGUGCUGGACUGUGUAUAAGUCUCCUGGAAGGGAGCGUCAUAGAGGGUGAGAAUCCCGUCUUGGACACAGACUGCCAGUGCUUUGUGAUGCGCUCUCGACGAGUCGAGUUGUUUGGGAAUGCAGCUCAAAAUGGGUGGUAAAUUCCAUCUAAAGCUAAAUACAGGCGAGAGACCGAUAGCGAACAAGUACCGUGAGGGAAAGAUGAAAAGAACUUUGGAAAGAGAGUUAAACAGUACGUGAAAUUGCUGAAAGGGAAACGCUUGAUGUCAGUCACGUCGGCCAGGGAUCAACCUUGCUUAGUUGCUGGGUGCAUUUCCUGGUGGACGGGUCAGCAUCAGUUUCGGUCGUCGUACAAUGGUAAAGGGAAUGUGGCACCUCUUGGGGUGUGUUAUAGCCUUUUGUNGAAUGCGUCGGUCAGGACUGAGGAACUCGGCAUGAUCUA